rnacentral:lncRNA from 1 species
UGUGGAUUGAAACUGAGGUUUUAUUGCUUUACUAGUGAAGAGUUACUCGCGCAUUGUGGGAAGCUAAUAUUAUAAAAGAUAAAAAAUUGAUAAAAUUAAAAUUUUUAAAUUUUUUGACUAUAUUAAUAAAUAUAAAUAGAAAAUAUAAAACAAAUAUAUACAAAUAUGGCAAAACAUACAAUAGUAAAUAAAUUAUAUAUAAUAAUAAUGAAAGAAGCAGUAAUAGAGUUAUUACUCCAUAUGCAACUUUAUUGCCCUAUCGAGAUCAGAGAGGCAAUUCCCAUUUUCCGCAUUGCCUCCACCGCCAUUGUCGGCGUUGAGCUUCUCCUUGAUCACGGCUAUGUCGACACGUACGGAUCUCCCCACACCCAUAUCUUCUUCCCCCACAUCGACUCUAAAUCUAUUGGACUUCACCUUGCCGCGCUGCUGCAAUUCUCGGAACCCUAAUUUCAAUCCCCACACAAUUUUAAAAAAAAUAAAAAAAAUUAAGAAAAAUAUAAAAAUUGAACCCUUCUUGUGUACAAAAAAAAAAAGAAAAAAAAUAUGAUAAAAAAGAGUAUGAAGAGAUUUUAUUUUGUUUUUUUUUAAAGAGAUUUAUUUAGAUAAAAAUGAAUCAAGUGAAUACAUUAAUUAGAAAGUGGGCGCGCAGGGUGGGAAGACAAAAUAUCGGGCAGAGAUAGGACGGGAAAGCAAAGCAUCAGGGAGAGGGAAGGGGGGAUAAAGGAGGAAUUGCCAUGUGGUAAACUCCAUGGGAAAUAAUAUAUAUGGAUAAUUACCUAUAUACCCCUCAAAACUUCAGAAAUAUCUUAUUUACCCCUGCUAAUUUUUUUUUCAAAUAUACCCCUCAUAUGUUCUUCAAUUAUUCAAAAAUACCCUCGCAGUUAUCACCCGUUAAUUUAACUUGGGUUAAACGUGAGUUAAAUAUCUACUAGAGUUAAAAAAAAUCAAAAUGCCUCUUUUGCCCUUUACUGGCAAAUAAGAAAUAUUGAUGAUGAUAGAAGAGUAUAUUUGAAAAGGCCAAAAAUCAAAAUGCUUUUUGUACCCCUAACUUAGGCUUAGUUUGGUAUUGAGAUUUAUCUAACGCUACUAUAUACAAUGGAGUUAAGAAAAAGCAUAUAGGGAUAUGCCUCUAUGUUCUUCAAUGGGACUGCAGAAAAUAUAUUAUAACCGACUAACCACAAUAUGUGGAACGCAAUAUUACGUACGGAAACAAACAUGGUAUUUUUCCAUCGUCGUUUCUCACCACACGUAACGCAAUCUCCCCACAAUCCUAAACAAAGCCUUAAGGGCAAGUAAGAAAAGUCGGUGAUGGUAAAAGGGUAUAUUAAAAAGGGCAAAAUAGUAAUUUUAUACCGAUAACAGUUAUUGCUAACAGUUCAUUAACAGAAUUUAACUCUAGGGGUAUAUUUGAAAUAGGUUGGAAUGUAAAAAAAGUAUCUUCAAUAUUAACCUUUUAAGAGAGGUAAAUCAAAAAGUCGAAAACUUUUUAGGAGUAUAUAACAAUUGUCCCUAAUAUAUAGGUAUAGAUAUAUAGGUUAGAUUAUAUGUAGAUUCUAUUAAAAGAGUAAAAAGAAAAUUGCACAACUAAGUCCGUAAAUUGCUAGUCAAAUAAUAUUUUAGUCCUCAAAACUUUUGAAUACUCAAUUUUUCAAAUUUUAGAAAAGAAAUCAUUAUCUGCUCGUGGUACAUCAGUGCAUCCUAUGAAUCAUGUAUUUAGUGGUACUUCAUAAGUCUCAUUUUUUAAGCCCAUACAGUGGAGGAAAAUUGUCACUGUAAUAUUGAUGGAGGGAUAAUAACAAGAGAGGAUACUAAAAUGCUGACAAAAAAGUGGUGCAUAUGCUAGUAUGGAUGUAAGGCCGUCGACGAGUCAAACACGAGUUAACUUAUUAAAGUAUCAAGCCGUAAAAUUAAACUCGUGUUCGGUUCGUUUAUUAAUUAACGAAUCAAAAAGAAGCUGGCUCACAAACAACAAGUUAAAAAGAUUAAAAAUGAUAUAUAUAAAAAAUAAAUUUACGAGAUUUUGCCUGUUAGACAUUGAUCUAAUGGUUAAAACUUUACAUAUAAUAAAACUUUUUAUAAUUGAGUUGGGUUAUACANAUAUUCGAGCUGUUAUCGAGUUGAACACGAGCGAGCACCCUAGUUUGUGUUUGGCUCGUUUAUUAAAUGAGCUGAAAAAUUCAGUUUGUGUUCGGCUCGUUUACUAAACGCACGAUUCGAUCUCGAGCUCACCUCGAACCAAACACGAGCUAGCUCACGAAUAGCGAGCUGGAUUGUCAUCCCUAAUGGAUAGACCCGGAUGGAUAAAUUUUUUUGUAAAAGUAUAU